CCGGUAGGUUGCCGUCUAUGGGGUCGCACAGAGUCGGACACGACUGAAGUGACUUAGCAGCAGCAGCAAGACCCCUACCCAGGUGGAGGAGAGUGAUAACCUGCUGGUCACAAGCAGAAGACUGUUUGAAACCAGGAGGUUAACGAUUAAAAUCCCCUGAAUAACACACUGUUACCUGCAUCAUCAACCAAUCAGAAGAAAGCCACGCCCCCUACAGCCCCCGCCCCCAAACAUUACCUUAAAAAAACCCCCUUCCUUGAACGCCAUUGGGGAGCUCGGGUUUUUCCGCAUAAGUUUUGGGGCUUAACUUCCCCACAACCAGGCGUCAGUGGAUGGGCGUCACUGCAUGGAAGAUAAGGUUCCUAAAAGGAAAGUUUAAGGGGUUCAGACAAGAUCACACAAGUUCAAGUCUGGAAUCUCUGGAUAAUACCUCUGGCUUCUCAGGGAUGGUCGAAGUUCCUCCUCCAAUUACUGAGACAAUCACCUCCCUACUCUUGCCACUUUGCCCUGUUCAAUGAAACUCUCCAAUGACCACCCACAAACCUAUGUCACUGUUGCCUCUAAGAAACCGGGAAAGAGCAAAUACUUCUGAGAAAUUUUCAGUUUUUCUGGCUUGAAUAAAAAGAUUAGAAAUGAGAA